CAUGGCAGUAAGGAAUGUGGUUUAGUGAUGGAAUUCUGUCUGUCAGGUUGAUGGUUGGACUCAGUGGUCUUGAGGGUCUUUUCCAGCCUGGGAGAUUGUAUGAUUAUUGAACUGUGUACUGUUUACUUCAUUUCUCCCGGUAUUAUUUCAGCUUCAGUAAGAAACUCGUGUUUUGGAGAGUCAGAAAGGAUGGUGAUGAAAUGUUUAGAUGAUGGAAGGAGGGACUUGUAUCGUGAAAGCGUGAAGCAUGUCUUCAUCUUUUCAUCUGUUAAUUGUUUUCCGGCUGAUGUCCUCUUUUAUGUAAAUUCUCAUCAUAUUCUAGUAAUGCACAACUGAACUUCCAUGUUACUUCUUGAAGUUAUGAGGAAGUAAUGAAUUAGGUAUUUUUGCUGCUUGUCUUUUUGCAUGUAGUUAUUCUCUCAGUCCUUAAAGUGCUGCUUCUAAGUCAGAAGGGGACAGUUCAUCUUUAGGUGGCAUACAGCAGUAGGCAUUGCAUGGCAACAGUUCCAAAGGUAAUUUUACAAUUUCAUAUCAAGCUUGCAAUGAAGUUUUAGAUUCAUGUCUCUACAGCAGUCUUGUAGAUUAAUUUAACCUCGAAUGGAUGAUAAUGAGAAUUUUUACUGAAAAGUGAGUCUUGGAGUGCCUUUAAAAAAAAACUUAUCUGGUCUUAAUGCAUCAAACAGUGGUAAAUCUUCUGUUUUUAACAUGUUAAAUAUUUAACAAUGCUAUGGGGUAAGAAAAGAAAGACAAGUUACUCCAAAGCUGACUUUUUUUGAGCUUCCCACCAUAUUAUCUUGUUGUAUUUUUCUCUACAAGGAUUGCAGAGGUUGCUUGUUGCAAUAUUCACAAAGUAUUUAUUAAGAACUGGAUCACAUCCUCAUCUUCUCAUUAAUAGAAUGGCUUUGCUUUUUUACGAAGCAUCAUGAGGUCUAUAUCACAUUUCGUUAGCUGAGAUCUUUCUUAAACAGUUACCACUACUUCAGCAUCUUUGCAGGGUGGCUAUCAGAACUGGACGUGUGAAGGUCUGGCAUCAAAUUGAGCUUGAUUUGUUUCAUCAGCACUGAAAGAUUGUGUCAUCAGUGUGCCUUUGCCCUUCGCUGGCAGUUCAUGUGGAGAUGAUUCACUUCAGUCACUUCAGAGCUUUUUCUGGGUAGAAAACAUCCAUGUUCCAGAGGAGCAGCCUGUGUUCCUCCUUUCAUCACAGAAUUGUAGGGGUUGGACGGGACCUCCAGAGAUGAUUGCAUCCAGCCCCCCUGCAAAGCCGGCCCUUAGAGCAGACUGCACAGGUAAGCGUCCAGGCAAGUCUUGAAUAUCUCCAGAGAAGGAGAAUCCACAACGUCCCUGGGCAGCCUGUUCCUGUGCUGUCACCCUCACUGUGAAGAAGUUUGUUUGCAUAUUGGUGCAGAACUUCCUAUGCUCCACUUUAUGGCCAUUUCCCCUUGUCCUGUUCCCACAGACUGCUGAGAAGAGGUUGGCCAUUCCUCCUUGACUUUGAAAUCAUGGGUGACUUGGAUUUGGUAAGAUUGGAAUAACUUGCCUUCCUCGGCCACGAGGUCACUGCAGAGCAUUAUUUUCUCUGCCAUACUUGUUAUCUGCAAAUUCAAGGCUGUUCAUAAAAUUGCCAGGGCCCAGUUUGAUACCGCUGGUUGUUCAUGUCACACGUGCAGUAACAUGAAAGCCUAUCAUCCUCUUACUUUGCAUAAGAAAGCAGUUUAUCAGCUCUGGAAAAGAUGAGGGGACUUUGGUAUCCCAGGUGAUUAUUCUUAUGGACGGAAUGAGUCAUCUUCAUGUGGACUUUAAUGUGUGGGUGAGUGAAUCAUCAGGUGUUGAACAGAUUAAUGUUUUCAAUGGGACAUACACAAGAUAAUGUUUUCUCACAGAGGCAACUUGGACCUGUCUAAAGAAAAUAUUUCAGAGGCUGAAAUACAGUGAUAUCAUGUGCCUUUGAACAUGUUACCUUUGGGAGACAAUCCAGACACCAGCCUAGUGUUGCUUUGCACAGACAAUUCUUGUCACGUGUGUGAAGAUAGUGACCUUCAAAGCAUUGUUAUGUAAAAGGUUUGUGAAAGCAUAAUAAUUGACCAGUGGUUGCACAAGAAGUUGAGCAGAAGUUAGCCUUUCUCGUGUGCUGACCUUCCUCUACUUUUUAGGGAGGUUAUGUAAAUUUGCUGAGCACGUGAUGACAACUUAAUGUAUAAUGUGAGUGGAUAAAAUGGGGCUGUGUGCACAGGUCUUGCAAGGGCUGUGGCCAGUGCCCACUUGUGUACUUAAAAACAGAGUAAGUUCGUGGAUUGUCUCAACUUCUUUUUUCUCUUUUCAGUCCAGGGUGAGUUCUGUCAGCCACAGUUACGCUCAGUUUUGGGUUUGACUGUGUUCUGAAACCUGCAGAGCCAAAGCAGCUUGCUGUUAUGACUGGCGAUUAGAGGUGGAGUACUAAAUUUAGGCAUGAAUAUGCUGGUUGAGUAGGAUUUAAUGCUUCAGUCAAAACUUACCACGCAUUCACCUGAAAAAUUAGCAAUCAUUUCAUAGAACUUCAGCAAAAUCUUAGUUUGGUAACAGCACUGUGAAUUCAGGAAAUUCUCUUGUUUAUAGGUUUCCUUGUAAAGCAUUUCUCGGCGUGCCUUUUUUAAAGAGUUUUAAGGAGGUACAAAUUACUACAGAGACAGAGCCUUACAUGGACAAGGCAAAUUUUUGAGCAUUGUGACUUGAUAUCUUGGUCAGAGCUACUGUCUGGAAAUACUUCUAUUUUAGUCACUAAAGUAAAUUUGAAGAGAAGUGGAUUCAUUCAUUGCAAUUAGAGGUGCACCAUGCUUUUAGAGUCAAACCAAAUAGCUGUAAGUAGAAGAAUCAUCUUCAUUCCUAUUUGCAAAUAUGGAUUUUGUGGGGUGGAAGGGUUGAGCACCAGAAGUGAAAUAAUAUAUAAAAAAAAAAAAAAACAAUACCACCCCCACUCUUCACACCCACCCCUUGCCAGCUGUCUAGCUCAGUACAUUUCACACCAUGGUUGCAAGGCCAGAAUGAUUAUGAGUUAGGGCUAGCACAAAAUCGAAGAAUUUGAAGAUUUUCCAAGUAUUUUACUGUAAGGUGGAGACUAAAAUUUCUUGAAGAAAUACGAAAAAUGCACAAGGGUAAGGAGGUUGCAGAUAAAAAAAAAAAAGCCACAAAAAACCCUAUGAAAUGCAAUAGAAAAUGGGAUUUCUUAACUCUGUCUUUCAGACAGACAGUAUCAUGAAUUGUCCUCUGUGCCCUGCCAUUUUACUUGCUGUCUGUUAUGUCCUCCUGCAUCCUAAGAUCAUCCUUGUUACCUUUCUAUCUAGGAGAAUGUAGCUGUACAUUCAAAUUGAUCCAUACGUAAUACAAGGAUCAGAAAGUCUUGACUGCUGGAUAAUUUGUGAUCUCUAUUCUGGGUGUCCUUAGACAAGCCCCCACAUGGUCACAACAUACUGGUUUUUUUAACCCUUAUACUGUGUUGAGGCUCUGUGAGGGCAUAUUUUGAGUUGUGGUGAAAGUAGCAUGUGUGGUUUUCACUCUGAUUUUUAAUGGCACCGUAGAUCACCCUUAUUUAGUUAGCCCAAGGCUAAAAUAUACUGCUUUUUAGGAUUGUAGAGGAGCCAUUAAUGGAAAUAGUUUGAGUGGGAGUGUACGCAUCAAGAAAGCGUGUAUAAAAAGAUAAAGAUGAGCCUCUUGCUUAUGGUGCACUUAGGUACAUGUUGUUGACUUUGAUCUGACUGAGCUAGAUGGUAUGGGAAAGAGCUCCAGUUCUCUAAAUAGCAACUGUCUCAGCAGCCUUGAAGUUAGUAUGGGGAAAGCUUUUGUUGUCCUCACUAAUGUGCAGCUGAUUCUUAUAGAAGUGAGUUUUUUCCAUCUGUAUGUCCAGUGAUGUAGAACUCUGUGGAUCAGCGUCUAUGCUAUGAGGAUGACAAGAGAUGACUUUCAAGUGUCUUUCCUUACAGGUAAUGAUUACAGUAUUUGCGGUAACUGAUGAUAAAAGGUAACAGUCAAAAUUCCAGGUCCCUGGUGCAUGAACCCGUGCUUUGGCUAUUGUUGCCAUUGCUUAUAUUUGUAACUUUCUAAUGAGUAAUGAUUUAGAAAGACUGUUCUUUACAGCACUGUUAAGAGGUAGCAUAUCAAAUGCUGAAUACUUGCUGCAAAGGAAUAUUUAUGGCAGUGUGGUACAUAACAGCUGCAGCCUCCCUGCUUUGCCACCCUGUUCUUCGGGGAGGUGUGAUAGCUGUGAAUGCAUCCUUCAGGACUUCAGUAAAGCACUGAUACUUCAGUUAUCUGUGCCAGAACACCUCAGUAUGUAUUAAGUCAUAGUUCAUCCCCUAGGGAGAAGUAAAGCUCCUCAAGAAAUGCAAAUUUAGAAAUCAAAACCAGUAUGCAGACUGAAGGAAUCAAUGACGAUUGCCAUCAUUCAUCCAGCAUUCUGCUUUAAUUUUAUCAAGGAAGAUGUAGUGAAAAGAGUAUAGUGCCUUUAUUUUCUGUCCUUUUUGAUGCAGUGUGUGUUCUGGACUGUGGGACAUAAAAAAUGCACACACUGCCACUCAGGGCUCUUCUUUCCUGCUCUGCAUGGCAGCUACUACUGUUAAGAACUGCAUUCACAGUAUAAAAAGAAUGGCUAAAAUUCAUCUCUUAAUUUAUUUGUCUUCUCGUUUGGAGGGAGUAGCUAAUGUGAUUUCAUGUAAUAAAACCAGACAUGUGAGAAUCCAGAGGGGUGAUUUUCUAAAUUUAAGGUUUCUCUUGAAUUUUUUUAUUACAAAUAG
ensembl:lncRNA